rnacentral:rRNA from 1 species
UAGGGAAUCUUCCGCAAUGGGCGAAAGCUUGACGGAGCAACGCCGCGUGAGUGAUGAAGGUCUUCGGAUCGUAAAACUCUGUUAUUAGGGAAGAACAAAUGUGUAAGUAACUAUGCACGUCUUGACGGUACCUAAUCAGAAAGCCACGGCUAACUACGUUCCAGCAGCCGCGGUAAUACGUAGGUGGCAAGCGUUAUCCGGAAUUAUUGGGCGUAAAGCGCGCGUAGGCGGUUUUUUAAGUCUGAUGUGAAAGCCCACGGCUCAACCGUGGAGGGGCAUUGGAAACUGGAGAACUUGAGUGCAGAAGAGGAAAGUGGAAUUCCGUGUGUAGCGGUGAAAUGCGCAGAGAUAUGGAGGAACACCAGUGGCGAAGGCGACUUUCUGGUCUGUAACUGACGCUGAUGUGCGAAAGCGUGGGGAUCAAACAGG